rnacentral:rRNA from 1 species
UACGUAGGGGGCAAGCGUUGUCCGGAAUCAUUGGGCGUAAAGAGCGUGUAGGCGGCCUGAUAAGUCGGCUGUGAAAGUCAAGGGCUCAACCCUUGAAUGCCGGCCGAUACUGUCAGGCUAGAGUCCGGAAGAGGCGAGUGGAAUUCCUGGUGUAGCGGUGAAAUGCGCAGAUAUCUGGAGGAACACCGGUGGCGAAGGCGGCAUCCUGGACCGAGAUUGACGCUGAGGCGCGAAAGCCAGGGGAGCAAACGGG